rnacentral:rRNA from 1 species
UACAGAGGUGGCAAGCGUUGUUCGGAAUUACUGGGCGUAAAGCGUGCGCAGGCGGUUCGCUAAGACCGAUGUGAAAUCCCCGGGCUUAACCUGGGAACUGCAUUGGUGACUGGCGGGCUAGAGUGUGGCAGAGGGGGGUAGAAUUCCACGUGUAGCAGUGAAAUGCGUAGAGAUGUGGAGGAAUACCGAUGGCGAAGGCAGCCCCCUGGGCUAACACUGACGCUCAUGCACGAAAGCGUGGGGAGCAAACAGG